rnacentral:snRNA from 1 species
UGAGGUGAGCAUGCACUCUGACUGCAACAUCUGACACCCCACUAGUCACCAGGGUGACUUAGCUCAUCUGACUAACUAGGAAGAGGUCCCCUUCCUCCCUCAUCACUCAAUGCAGUACCUCCCAAAGGUACACACCAAGAGUUACUUUCCNAGGUAGAGGACUGUUCUUCCAUCAAGGGUAUCUGAGUAGCUGUGUUCCCGUUAGAAUCUCCAAACAAGUUCUCAAUAUGUAAUUGGUUGUGUGUACUCUAUCAGCCUGAAUCUAAAUAAGCUGUGUAAGNAGGUUCUCACCUGGGUAAAGGGCUGCUUU